UUUCUAAUAGAAAAUUGGCAAAAUGAAUAACCAGGCAAUACUGGGUUUGUCUUCUAUUAUUAUAACAAAAACUUUGAUCAUUGGUGAGAUAUAGUGUUGUUCUGUGGUGUGCGUGACAUCUGAUCAGUCAGGUGACAGAUACGUUAUUGUUUGCAGAUUGAAAAUGGAAAGGAAAGAAAAAAACCAAGCCAAAACAUAAAAUAAACCUAUGAAGAAAAUAUUUUUCAUCUAGAUCUAUUGGCACUGUAAAUAAAAAACAGAACCCUUUGAUGUUCCACCGACUUUUCAUUCUCUGUCACAUGUAAAGGAAAAUAUUCACAGUUUCAGGUGUUGGGAGUCUUCUGUGAUUGUAUCAGAUUGAUGUAGUUGUGGAUUUGGCCCUCCUUUCAUUGGCUGAAAUUUUUAGUGUUUGGACUGGACAGCAUUUCUUGUGCAAUGGGAGCCGUACAUAUACAUGGAAUCUUGAGGUCAUUUGGGCCUGUCGUAUUUAAGGAGGGAACAUCUCAACUGAGAGUUGAGAAUACGGCACAUUCCUGUGGAAGGGGCCAUUGCUGACCUGUUGGCCAAAUUACGCACUUUGUUGGACAGGCCUCUUUGCAUCUUGUUGUACACCAUUGGUGAGGUGCUAUUGUGCAAAGGUGGAGACUUUGAUGUAUUUCUUGAUGGCUAAAAGAUUAUGCUAAACACCAUCAGUUAUAGAGGUAAGGCUUAUGCACCCUUUAAGACACUAACUGCAUUAACAGCCAUUUACUGGAUCUGUAUUGGUAACGCCUUACAUUUAAAGUAUGUUUUCUGGACUUUGAUUUGUUCACAAUGUUUUGUGUGCUUUGAGGUAGCUUCAGUCUCUGAGA